AUUGAACGCUGGCGGCAGGCCUAACACAUGCAAGUCGAGCGGAUGAAGGGAGCUUGCUCCUGGAUUCAGCGGCGGACGGGUGAGUAAUGCCUAGGAAUCUGCCUGGUAGUGGGGAAUAACGUCCGGAAACGGGCGCUAAUACCGCAUACGUCCCGAGGGAGAAAGUGGGGGAUCUUCGGACCUCACGCUAUCAGAUGAGCCUAGGUCGGAUUAGCUAGUUGGUGGGGUAAAGGCCUACCAAGGCGACGAUCCGUAACUGGUCUGAGAGGAUGAUCAGUCACACUGGAACUGAGACACGGUCCAGACUCCUACGGGAGGCAGCAGUGGGGAAUAUUGGACAAUGGGCGAAAGCCUGAUCCAGCCAUGCCGCGUGUGUGAAGUAGGUCUUCGGAUUGUAAAGCACUUUAAGUUGGGAGGAAGGGCAGUAAGUUAAUACCUUGCUGUUUUGACGUUACCAACAGAAUAAGCACCGGCUAACUUCGUG
rnacentral:rRNA from 1 species